UUUUGUCAUUACCUAAACUUAGAAAAAAUUCUCUUUCAUCAUUUCCACAUGUUAUUGAAAAAUUUUUUAAACAAAUACUUUUAAUUAAUUUUUAUAAUUAUGUUAACGAGGAGAGGAUUUAAUUAUUUGCAAAGAUGUUCCCGAUCAAUAUUGGGGAUAAAAAAUUCAAAGAAUAAGAUAUGCGGCUUUAAAAAAUUAUCAGUUCAUUACAGUCAAGAUAAUCCUCAGGUUAAAAGUCAAAAUAAAGAAUUAUUUCCAGUUAACAAGUAUGUUCAGAGAACACACACCUGCGGUGAGCUGGGAAUUGAAGAUGUUGGAGAAACUGUCAGUCUGUGUGGAUGGAUGGAGUACCAGAGAAUGGGGAAGUUUAUUACGUUAAGAGAUUCUUAUGGAACUAUUCAGUUAAUGAUUCCUGAUGAUAAACAAUCUUUAAUCAAAGCUGUGGAACAGUCGAGCUUUGAGAGUGUUUUAUCGGUGACAGGGAAAGUUAUCCUGAGGCCGCCAGAACAAGAAAAUCGUAAAAUGAAAACUGGUAGCAUAGAGAUUCUUGUAGAAGCACUAGAAAUAGUAAAUAAUGCCGCAUCACAGCUACCUUUUUAUAUUAGAGAGCACAAUGUCCCUAAAGAAAUGCUGCAGAUGCAAUACAGAUACUUAGCGCUAAGAUUUCCGUCAAUGCAAAAUAAUUUACGACUACGAUCUCAGUUUAUGCACAAAUUACGAGGGUAUUUGAUCGAUGACUGCGGGUUUGUCGACGUAGAAACUCCUACUCUUUUCAGGCGUACUCCUGGUGGUGCUCAAGAAUUUGUGGUACCGACUAGACAGCCAGGAGAAUUCUACUCACUUGUUCAAAGUCCACAGCAGUUUAAGCAGUUGCUGAUGGUCGGUGGAAUUGAUAGGUACUUCCAAAUAGCUAGAUGUUACAGAGAUGAAGGUGCUAGAUCCGACCGACAACCAGAAUUCACACAACUGGAUAUAGAAAUAUCGUUUACUGACCGUGAAGGUAUUAUUAGUUUAAUAGAAGAUCUUCUGUGUCAUUGCUGGCCUAAAGAGUCUGCUGCAUUGACAGCUCCAUUCAGACAUUUCACUUAUGAACAAGUGAUGGAGCUUUUUGGGACGGAUCAACCGGAUUUAAGACUUCCAUACCGUAUUUUAAAUCUACAGCAGUCGGAUUCUCGGGGUGAUAAUGAAAUUUACGCCUUACCGAUACCGAUGGGAGCUGAAUUUCUGACAAAUGCAGUGAAAGCUCAGUUUAAUGAUAUCAGAGAUAAGAAUUUUAAAGGUGUUAAGUUGAUGCAAAUUAAAAUACAAGAUAAUUCAUGGCCGGAGAAGGUCGAGAAAUUUGGCGUUGAUAUUUCUGGUAUGAAUCAGAAAUUGAGUGUCAAUAAAACUGACGCUCUAUUUUUAGCCUCUGGAAACAAAAAUAAUGUUAGAAAACUUCUCGGUAAAAUUCUUGUGGAGUUUGCCAAUAUAAUAGAAUCUAAAGGACGUCAAGUAAGGACUCAAGGGUAUGAAUUCUUGUGGAUUGUCGAUUUUCCAUUGUUUGAAAUAAACGACGACGGAAGUAUUGCUUCAACUCAUCAUCCAUUUACUGCGCCGCAUUCUGAUGACAUUCAGUAUCUUGAGACUGACCCUUUUAAAGUACGAGGGCUGCAUUAUGAUCUAGUAUUAAAUGGCUCUGAAAUCGCUGGCGGUUCUAUAAGAAUUCACAAUGCAAAGCUGCAAGAAAAAAUACUGAAAAUGCUGAACAUUAGUACUUCGCAAAUGAAACACUUGUUGCAAGCACUAGCAAGUGGAGCUCCUCCUCACGGUGGAAUUGCAUUUGGAAUGGAUCGUCUGAUAUCAAUUAUAUGUAAAUCACCCAGCAUAAGGAAUGUAAUAGCCUUUCCCAAGACCAUGGAAGGUCGAGACCUUAUGUCUGGAGCGCCGACUGAGAUAUCCGAGGACGAAAAAAAAUUAUAUCACUUAUCAAUACUAAGUAAUGAAAAUGAAAAAAAUUGUUGACUUGUAAUUAAGGUGUAAAAAACGGUUUGUAUUUUAUUCAAUCAAAUGGCUUGGUGAUUUAAUUACAGAAAAAGUUCAUAAAUCACUGAGUGAUAUAUAAUUACUAGAUUAUAUAUAAACUAAACAUAUACUUGGCUCACAAAAUUUUUUACAAUAAAUUACGUUUAAUAAAAUUAUCAAUUCCUAAAUAAUUAUUUGAAUUUUACACUGACAGUUCAUUUAAAUUUCAUUUAGUUACGAAAACAUGCGAUAAAAAAAGAUCUAGAAAUAAAUUGUGAUUAUUUAAUUUUUGCUAAUAUAUAUAAUUGAAUUUAAUUAAUGUAUUUUUACUAUUACAAAUUUAAAGCCAGUCAAAUCGUCUUUAUUGAUCGGCGAUAAAAUAAUACGGUGAGACUCAUUUACAUUUUAUUUUAUUGUAUUUACUUCAUUUUAAUAUCUUGAACAAGUUUAAUUGAAGCGUGGGUGCUUAUAAAUGUUACUCUUAUCAUCUAUUUAUAUUUAUUAUUUUAAUAUAAAAACUCCAUCGUCCGGAAGUAUAAAAAAAUGAGGAAAUGUUUUACUAUAUUUAACAAUAAAUAAAAAAAAAAAAAACAAAAACAAAAAAAAGAAAGAAAG
rnacentral:misc_RNA from 1 species